rnacentral:rRNA from 1 species
GAUGAACGCUAGCGGGAGGCUUAACACAUGCAAGUCGAGCGGGAAGGGUAGCAAUACCCUGAGAGCGGCGCACGGGUGCGUAACGCGUAUGCAACCUGCCUUAUACAGGGGGAUAGCCCAUGGAAACGUGGAUUAAUAUCCCAUAGGAUUACGGAGUCGCAUGAUUUUGUGAUUAAAACUACGGUGGUAUAAGAUGGGCAUGCGUCUGAUUAGUUAGUUGGUAGGGUAACGGCCUAACAAGCCGACGAUCAGUAGGUGUUCUGAGAGGAUUACCCACCACACUGGUACUGAGACACGGAACAGACUCCUACGGGAGGCAGCAGUGAGGAAGAUUGGUCAAUGGGCGAGAGCCUGAACCAGCCAUCCCGCGUGAAGGAUGACGGCCCUAUGGGUUGUAAACUGCUUUUCUGCUCCAAGAAACCUGAUUACGUGUAAUCAGUUGACGGUAGAGUAGGAAUAAGCAUCGGCUAACUCCGUGCCAGCCGCCGCCGUAAUAC